rnacentral:rRNA from 1 species
UACAGAGGUCUCAAGCGUUGUUCGGAUUCAUUGGGCGUAAAGGGUGCGUAGGUGGCGGGGUAAGUCAGGUGUGAAAUCUCGGAGCUCAACUCCGAAACUGCACUUGAUACUGCCUUGCUCGAGUACUGGAGAGGAGAUUGGAAUUUACGGUGUAGCAGUGGAAUGCGUAGAUAUCGUAAGGAAGACCAGUGGCGAAGGCGAAUCUCUGGACAGUUACUGACACUGAGGCACGAAGGCCAGGGGGAGCAAACAGG